AGCGUACACGGUGGAUGCCUAGGCAGUCAGAGGCGAUGAAGGGCGUGCUAAUCUGCGAAAAGCGUCGGUAAGGUGAUAUGAACCGUUAUAACCGGCGAUACCCGAAUGGGGAAACCCAGUGUGUUUCGACACACUAUCAUGUCAUGAAUACAUAGUGGCAUGAGGCGAACCGGGGGAACUGAAACAUCUAAGUACCCCGAGGAAAAGAAAUCAACCGAGAUUCCCCCAGUAGCGGCGAGCGAACGGGGAGGAGCCCAGAACCUGAAUCGGCUUGUGUGUUAGUGGAAGCGUCUGGAAAGUCGCGCAGCAAAGGGUGAUAGCCCCGUACACUAAAAUGCACAGGUCGUGAGUUCGAUGAGUAGGGCGGGACACGUGACAUCCUGUCUGAAUAUGGGGGGACCAUCCUCCAAGGCUAAAUACUCCUGACUGACCGAUAGUGAACCAGUACCGUGAGGGAAAGGCGAAAAGAACCCCGGCGAGGGGAGUGAAAUAGAACCUGAAACCGUGUACGUACAAGCAGUGGGAGCACCUUCGUGGUGUGACUGCGUACCUUUUGUAUAAUGGGUCAGCGACUUAUAUUUUGUAGCAAGGUUAACCGUAUAGGGGAGCCGUAGGGAAACCGAGUCUUAACUGGGCGUCUAGUUGCAAGGUAUAGACCCGAAACCCGGUGAUCUAGCCAUGGGCAGGUUGAAGGUUGGGUAACACUAACUGGAGGACCGAACCGACUAAUGUUGAAAAAUUAGCGGAUGACUUGUGGCUGGGGGUGAAAGGCCAAUCAAACCGGGAGAUAGCUGGUUCUCCCCGAAAGCUAUUUAGGUAGCGCCUCGUGAACUCAUCUUCGGGGGUAGAGCACUGUUUCGGCUAGGGGGCCAUCCCGGCUUACCAAACCGAUGCAAACUCCGAAUACCGAAGAAUGUUAUCACGGGAGACACACGGCGGGUGCUAACGUCCGUCGUGAAGAGGGAAACAACCCAGACCGCCAGCUAAGGUCCCAAAGUCAUGGUUAAGUGGGAAACGAUGUGGGAAGGCAUAGACAGCCAGGAUGUUGGCUUAGAAGCAGCCAUCAUUUAAAGAAAGCGUAAUAGCUCACUGGUCGAGUCGGCCUGCGCGGAAGAUGUAACGGGGCUAAACCAUGCACCGAAGCUGCGGCAGCGACGCUUAGGCGUUGUUGGGUAGGGGAGCGUUCUGUAAGCCGUUGAAGGUGGCCUGUGAGGGUUGCUGGAGGUAUCAGAAGUGCGAAUGCUGACAUAAGUAACGAUAAAGCGGGUGAAAAGCCCGCUCGCCGGAAGACCAAGGGUUCCUGUCCAACGUUAAUCGGGGCAGGGUGAGUCGACCCCUAAGGCGAGGCUGAAAAGCGUAGUCGAUGGGAAACAGGUUAAUAUUCCUGUACUUGGUGUUACUGCGAAGGGGGGACGGAGAAGGCUAGGCUAGCCGGGCGACGGUUGUCCCGGUUUAAGCGUGUAGGGGGUGUGACCUGGUAAAUCCGGUUGCAUAUCAACCCUGAGGCGUGAUGACGAUGCACUACGGUGCAGAAGUAGUUGAUGCCCUGCUUCCAGGAAAAUCCUCUAAGCUCCAGGUAACAUUAAAUCGUACCCCAAACCGACACAGGUGGUCAGGUAGAGAAUACCAAGGCGCUUGAGAGAACUCGGGUGAAGGAACUAGGCAAAAUGGUGCCGUAACUUCGGGAGAAGGCACGCUGGCAUGUAGGUGAAGUCCCUUGCGGAUGGAGCUGAAGCCAGUCGAAGAUACCAGCUGGCUGCAACUGUUUAAUAAAAACACAGCACUGUGCAAACACGAAAGUGGACGUAUACGGUGUGACGCCUGCCCGGUGCUGGAAGGUUAAUUGAUGGGGUCAGCCGCAAGGCGAAGCUCUUGAUCGAAGCCCCAGUAAACGGCGGCCGUAACUAUAACGGUCCUAAGGUAGCGAAAUUCCUUGUCGGGUAAGUUCCGACCUGCACGAAUGGCGUAAUGAUGGCCAGGCUGUCUCCACCCGAGACUCAGUGAAAUUGAACUCGCUGUGAAGAUGCAGUGUACCCGCGGCAAGACGGAAAGACCCCGUGAACCUUUACUAUAGCUUGACACUGAACAUUGAGCCUUGAUGUGUAGGAUAGGUGGGAGGCUUUGAAGCGUGGACGCCAGUCUGCGUGGAGCCAUCCUUGAAAUACCACCCUUUAAUGUUUGAUGUUCUAACUCUGCCCCAUAAUCUGGGGUGAGGACAGUGUCUGGUGGGUAGUUUGACUGGGGCGGUCUCCUCCCAAAGAGUAACGGAGGAGCACGAAGGUUAGCUAAUCACGGUCGGACAUCGUGAGGUUAGUGCAAAGGCAUAAGCUAGCUUGACUGCGAGAGUGACGGCUCGAGCAGGUACGAAAGUAGGUCUUAGUGAUCCGGUGGUUCUGAAUGGAAGGGCCAUCGCUCAACGGAUAAAAGGUACUCCGGGGAUAACAGGCUGAUACCGCCCAAGAGUUCAUAUCGACGGCGGUGUUUGGCACCUCGAUGUCGGCUCAUCACAUCCUGGGGCUGAAGUAGGUCCCAAGGGUAUGGCUGUUCGCCAUUUAAAGUGGUACGCGAGCUGGGUUUAGAACGUCGUGAGACAGUUCGGUCCCUAUCUGCCGUGGGCGUUGGAAGAUUGAGAGGGGUUGCUCCUAGUACGAGAGGACCGGAGUGAACGCACCACUGGUGUUCGGGUUGUCAUGCCAAUGGCAUUGCCCGGUAGCUAAGUGCGGAAAAGAUAAGCGCUGAAAGCAUCUAAGCGCGAAACUUGCCUCAAGAUGAGUCUUCCCUGGGCCUUUAAGGCCCCUGAAGGAACGUUUAAGACUAAGACGUUGA
rnacentral:rRNA from 1 species